rnacentral:tRNA from 2 species
GGAGGGGUGGCCGAGUCCGGUUUAUGGCGGCGGUCUUGAAAACCGUUUGGGCCGCAAGGCUCACGGGGGUUCAAAUCCCUCCCCCUCCGCCA